rnacentral:rRNA from 1 species
ACAGGUAACAAGGCGASGGUAGGUGAACCUGCGGAAGGAUCAUUACAGAGYUCAUGCCCUUCGGGGUAGAUCUCCCACCCUUGUGUAUCAUUAUAGAAUGUUGCUUUGGCGGGCCGCGCCUCGUGCGCCUAGAUUCGCGUCUAGCGUGCCCGCCAGAGGACCCCUAAACUCUGAAUGUUAGUGUCGUCUGAGUACUAUUAAAUAGUUAAAACUUUCAACAACGGAUCUCUUGGUUCUGGCAUCGAUGAAGAACGCAGCGAAAUGCGAUAAGUAAUGUGAAUUGCAGAAUUCAGUGAAUCAUCGAAUCUUUGAACGCACAUUGCGCCCCCUGGUAUUCCGGGGGGCAUGCCUGUUCGAGCGUCAUUUAUACCAAUCUAGCCUGGCUAGGUGUUGGGCUUCGCCGUCUGGCGGGCCUUAAAACUAGUGGCGGUGCUCUUCGGCUCUACGCGUAGUAAUUUUCUCGCUAUAGGGUCCUGGGAGAUGCUUGCCAGCAACCCCAAAUUUUUMUAGGUUGACCUCGGAUCAGGUAGGGAUACCCGCUGAACUUAAGCAUAUCA